GAAAAACACAAGAUCACCUGAUACUUACCCUCAGUACAGAACAGAGAGGCAUUAUACCGAUCGCUGUCGCUCCAAAUUUCACCGAACAGAAAAGCCUCUGUGGGAAGCUCCCCCAGGAGCGCUCAGCGCCGCCGUGUCACAAACAGACAGCGGCAGCGCCACCGCACACAAACUGAGAGCAGAUGCGGUCUGUAAAACCACCAGAAACCUCCCCAGCAACCCCGGCUGACCCCCCCAGCGGCACGAUGCAAACCAACAACUUCUACAUUAACUUACCCUUAAACAAACUUUUGUCAUCAGUUUACGCCCACAGGGGUCACUAGCACUUCACAACAGGGACAAGCCUUUUUAAUUCUAAGCAGAGACAAAAACAUAAUUCUUAGGUUUUCAUUUUUCCCAAGUAUUAGUUCAGUACCUUGUAACUAAGAGCUGACAGCUUUGGCUCUUGCUCACAGCACUCCAGCAGUAAGGAAUUCAGCCCAAAGCACCGACAGCGGUUCCUGCCGCAUUGCCAGUUGCCGGGGUCGGCUGUUACUUGUCUCUGCCCCAGCACGGGAAAAAGUGGUUCUGGGCAGGCCGUGCUUUGAAGAAGGAGUCUGGACUCUUGCUUUUAGGUGUCAUUUCUUUAAAAGGAUCAAAGUCAAGCCACCAGGUACUUUUGGCAACAUUCCAGGGCGUCCGAGCCCCCCAAGGGUUGUCUCGGUAGCUCUGGACAUCCGGAGUGAUGUACUGAGUUCCCACAGCCAGUGACUGUAACUGAGCCAGGCCCGCAUGGACAGACUGCGCUUGGAACCAAGCAAAGCGUACCCCAGGAACAGCACCGAGAGCUUCAGGCACAGCCGAUGCCCUCGGGCAGAAGGUGUCCCCAGGGAACAGCCAGAGCCACCGUGCAGUGUGACACAGCAGUGUGACACAGCGAGUCCAGCAGCGAAUGUCCCAGCUGGGCCGGGCACGGCGCUGCCCCUUCUCCUGUGCUUCGGCCGCGCCAUCAAACCUGGGAGCACCCACGGGGCUCUGAGAGUCACAGCGGUCACAGCGUGUCCCCACAGCGAGCUCGUGGUGACUGCCACACCGCCUGAGGAGAAGCCAAGGACCACCUGGCCCCUCGUGCUGCAGAAACCAUCCCAGCGGGGAAGAAAGACUCGCUGGCCCAGGGAAGAACAGAAACAGAAGGGAGUUUUUAAUGAGAGCCACAGCAGCACCGACCACUGCAAAGUUAUCAUCAAAACUAACAGCCCUGUCUGAGGGAGUCAGUAGCCUCCAGCAGGGAAAAAACUAAAUACCAUCAAAAAAUUAAUAAAUGAACAAUUACCAAAGAAUCACAUCAAUCCCACAAAUAGCUCUUAGAAUUCCCCAGUGUUUGUCAUUCACAAGAAAACGUCUGAUUCCUCGAAAUUACUGCACAACUUUAAAAAAAUAAGAGACAAAAUAUUAGAAAACCUGAGACCCCUGCAACCUGGACUUCCUUCUCUUUGAAUAAUUUCAAGAAACUGGCCUCUUGUUGUCAUCAACUUGAGACUGUAUUUUCAACAUUCCACUACAUCCAAAAAAUACUCUUCCAUUUGCCUUUUCAGUUCCAGCCAUCAGUAAAAAAAAAUUACAAAAAUAUCACUAGUCAGCUUUACCGCAAAAAAUACAAAAAAAUCACCUUCUAUUUGUCAAUAUUUUAUAACAGGAGCUUCCUCUCCAGCCCAUCAAAAACAGCCACAAUAACGAAUUUUACAUUACAUAGACAAUUGCUCAUUAUAGCACCAACUCAAAAAGGAAUAAAAUCGAUUCAAAACAACAUAAUCACAGAAGUUCAAAACACUAAAUUAAAAAUUCUACAUCAAAACCACAAGAAAUCCCACCUUAAAAAUAUUUUAGAGAGAAGAUAACAAAACAGUCAAGCCACAGAAAAUACAGCUCCCAACCAGUGCUAAGACCUUACAAAAUUUACAACUUCUCCUUCAGUUUCAAUUUAAAACCCUGAGACAAAUGAAAAAUUCAUUUCAUUUUACAACCUAAGACAAGAAAUUUGCUUUUAUUUCCACGAAUACAAACGCUAAGUAGAUUCCAACAAAAGCCAUAAAACCACAUCACACACCAAACUACACUAACGAUGCCACAAACAAAACCACAAACACACAGACGUGAGGCACACAGACAAACUGCAGCUCAUACCCAGCAUCCCCUCCCCAACCUGCAAAACUGCAAACCUUAACUUUUAUAGCAAUGUUAAAACUAUAAAAAUCCUUAAUGUCACAGAGCUCUUUUAGCAAAAGCAGAGUAUCCAUCAUGUUAAAAAAAUCCCUAAAUAUCCUACUUGAAAACAUUAAGGAUAAUCAAAACAACUCAGUGCCUUAGAAUUAACCAGUCCCUAAAAAAUUUGAAAAACCACAAAAACGAAAUACAGGAAAAAAAAUUAAAAUAUAUAAAAAAAUCUUUUAGCAAGAAUAAUUAAACAACAACAUAAAGUUAAAUCAAAUAAUAUAUUAGCAUGUAUUAGUUUUUUUCCUUACUUUUACAGUACAAAUAUACCUCUAAAUCAACCAAAACCAAACGUUUAAGUUACUGUGAAUCAACAAGUUCAAACACCAAAUAUUUAACCACUCUGAGCCCAAACAAACCCUUUACAAUCUCUUUAAUCAGUACACUGAUGCCAACCCAAAAAUAACCAGCACCAAACCCUGACAACUCUGAGCGUGCAGUCACCAACCAAACAAAUCCCGUCACCAAUUGUAUCCCUGAACCCCAAUCUUCUUAAAACACCCUUGAAACCCCAGCAAUUAAAAACUCUGAAUUCUUUAACAACCGGGUUCUGUAUUAGGUUUCAGUAUCAAAGAAAUCCACAGUUAAAUGUUACUCCCCAUCAUCCUCCAUACAAAACCUCAAGUCUUUAGUACAAUUAUACCAGUCCUGUGCCCCCUAAAAAUAAAACUAUUGAUCUUAAGAAAUUCCCACAGAAAUUACAAAAAAAAGCAAACAAAAACCAAGUCAUUGAUAGAAAUAAAACCUAGCAAAACAUCCCCUCUGAAAUUAAAAAUAGCCCCCUAUAAUAUCAAACAACUCACUACAGUAACACCUAAUAUUAAAAAAAAAAUCAAAAAGCAUAAAAGAGUCCACCCAUCAUUAUAAAAAAAACUGCAAAAACAAUUUUAAACCCUAAAACCCUACAAAAGUAGUUACAUUAAAUUUGUUUUUACCUCAACUCACCUUAACUAUAACGACAAAGCAAUUAAACCAAACAGAGUAUUAAUUAAACAAAAAAAAAAAUCAAUACUAUUUCCUUAUAAUAAUAUAUUAACAAAUAUUAGUACUAUUGAACAUACUACCUUAGGAAACAAAACCACCAUCAAUUUUCUCUCACUAGCACAUAAAUAUAACUAAAAUUAUUUUAAAAAUAUAUAAACUUAUUGAAACGCUCAAAAUCCAUCCACAAACCACUUCAAAAAUUACAAAAAUUAACAAAAAAUUAAAACAAACAUUAAAUCCUAAUUAAACAAUUUAUUUUAAAAUAAAAUACCACCUCUAUACCUUAUCUAAAAAACUUUACAAAUUCAAUUUCCAUGUAUUAAUUAUUAAAAUAAGAGUAUUACUAAUAGUACCUUAUAUGUUUCACUGUAAACAACAAAUAAUAAAUAGGACCAUAAACAAGUUUCUUGUUUCUUUGCUUUGUACACACUAUUAAAGAACUGUUAUUUGUAUUCUCAUAUCUCUGCCUGAGAGCCCCUUAAUUUCAGAAUGACAAUAAUUCCAAGGGAAGGGUUUUUUACAUUUCCCAUUGCCAGGGAGGCUCCUGCCUUCCUUAGGAGAUCCCUGUUUUCAAACCAAAACACCCCCAUCCCUCUGUGCCGCUGUGUGGAGAGGAGGGAGGGAACUGGGGACAAAGUGAAGCACAGGAAAGAGAGAACUGUGUGGGGAAGCUGCAUUUUUAGGAUUUAGUGCACUUCUCAUUCCCUUGCUCUGAUUUCUUUGAUAAUAAAUUCAAUUCAAUUUAAUGUCCCCACUUGGGGUCUGUUAUACCCAUGAUGGGUGAGAGAUCUCUGGCUGCCUCUGUUGAGAGCCCCGAGCCUUUCCUGCUGUGCUCUGUUGCCUGCCCAGGGGCAGCAGCAGAGGCACAGAGCGGUUUUGCUGCCCCGGGCCCCUGGCCUGGCCCGGCCCAGCCCAAGAAUCGCUGCCAUCAUUCCCUGCACCAGGACCCGGCCCCACGGUGGCUCCGGGAGUUCCGAGUGGGCAAAACGGGAGCGAGGGAGAGGAGGCAGCUGGUGCCAGUGGCUGAAAUGGCUUUGCUGCCAGCUGGCAGGGAGAACGUGGAGCAAAGUAAAGGGGAGAGAAAGAGGGACAAGGCUGGAGCGGUGGAAGGCAGUGGGGACGGCCAUGGGGCAGGCAGGCAUUUUCCUUUCCAGCUCUGUGGGAGGAAACCAAGAGCUGUCAAAUCCAUGGAGGAAAAGAGGGCAGAAAUAGCAGGUGGUGGAAAUCUCUGACAAUUGGGAUUGAUCUGCCUGAACUGCACAGGCCGACAGACUCCGAGCACCGCCAGCGUUGGGAUGUGCCUGGCCCUGCCCCUGCCCUGCUGCAGCAGCCCCUGCUGAGACAGCCCCUUGUCUCUAAAGGAGCUGCACCAAGGGACGGGUGAGGUGCUGCUGCAAUAAGAUUGAAAGAAUAAAAUAAACAGAAUAAAAAGCUGCACCACCUGGUGUCCUCCACCUGGUUAUAUUAAACGAGCUACAUUGAGGCACUGUGGGGGCAGCAUUGCUGGUUAAAAAAAGUCGUGGGAAAGGCUGGCAUGAGUGAAGGGAAUAAAAUACAGAGAAUAUUAAAAAUAUUCUAAAAAUACUGCAUCAGUAAACAUUCCCAAAGUGAAACAAAAAAUAGCUGUGGGAGGGUCUGUGAGUCACGCAGGAGAGCGGUGUAGUGGUUCCACCAUUCACUGAGCAGCGCUCGAUUAAAAGAGACCUCUGGGAGCGCAGCCAACAUGAACAGACUUUGGCAUGGUAUUAUGACAUAAUAUAUGUUAUAUAGUCAUAAUAUAUACGAUAUAUUAUGACUUAGAAAGAUCCUUGAGAUGCAGCCCUCAAAACAAAGGAGUUCAGGAAAGGUGGGCAUGCUUCAAAACAGAGACCUUGAGGGCACAGGAGCAGACUGUCCCUGUGUGCCCAAAGAGGAGUCAGAGAGGCAAACGUCCAGCCUGGAUGGGAAAUGAGGUUUUGAAGGAACUUAGGAAUAAAAGGAGGAUGUAUCAUCUGUGGAAGGAGGAUCAGGUUUCUCAGGAAGUAUUUAAGGGGAUUGCCAGGAUAUACAGGGAAAAAAUCAGGGAGGCCAAAAUUUUGUCUGAAGUUAAUUUGGCAACUUUUGUAAAGGAUAAUAAAAACAUUUUUACGAAUAUACUAAUGGUAAAAGGAAGGGCAAGACCAACCAAUGUUGAUUAUUAGAUGUGGGAGGGAACUCAGUGACUGCAGAUGAGGAGAAGGCAGAGGUGCUCAACACCUUCUUUGCCUCGGCCUUCAGUGGGAACACAGCUUGUCCUCAGGACAAGUGUCCUCCUGGGCUGGUGGAUGGUGUCAGGGGGCAGAAAGGGCCCCCUGAGAUCCAGGAGGAGGCACUCAGAGAACUGCUGAGCUGCCUGGAUGUUCAUAAAUCCGUGGGCCCAGAUGGGAUCCAGCCCAGGGGGAUGAGGGAGCUGCCAGAGGAGCUUGGGAAGCCGCUCUCCAUCAUUUCCCAACAGCCCUGGCUCACUGGGGAGGUUGCAGCUGGCUGGAAGCUGGCCAGUGUGACACCCAUUGACAGCAAGGGUGGGAAGGAGGCUCCUGCUAAUUACAGGCCAGGGAGCCUGACUGUUGUGGUUCGUGUUUGUUCCAUUAAGUUAUUUCUAAAUGGUUCAUUCAUUCUGUUAUCCCUCAACGUUCCCAGGUUGAUUUGUCCAUAAGUUGUACCCUCCCUUAAAGCUGUCCCUCAAGGUACUCCCCUCCCUUUGUUCUAGUCCCUUCCCUGCCUGUCUUCAAGGCCACCCUGCCCCUUGUUCCUGAAUGUUCCCUGCCACUCACCUCUGGGCCAAUCCCUGAUGGAAACACCCACCUGGAACUCCCCUGAUCCACGAUGCCCCAUUGGCCCAUGUGAACUUUCCCUCUCCUCCCCCUAUCCCGACUGGCCCCACGGUGUUGCUGUGAUCCCCUCACUCCUCCCCUGAGCAUUCCCUGUUUUCAGCUGUUUGUAUCCACCCCUGACUUGUAUCUGAACAAAACCCCUCCCAAUCGAGGCCGAGGGGCUCCUUUUGUCCUGCUCCCUCCCCCUGGGACAAACUUUCCCAUGGAACCUCAAGACAAAGAGCUCCUCCUUCGCCUGGUGCCUGCCAUGGCAGUGACAGCGUGCACUGCAGAGCUGGCAGCUCUUUGGGGCCAGCUGUGGGCACAGCCCAGGCCCCAGCUGCUCCCACCCCUGUUGUGGCUGCCGGAGUGCACAGAGCCAGCCGGGUUCUGACAGGCAGAGACCACGAUCCCAGCAGUGAGAAUCCCUGUUUUAACUGCAACGAGUUUAUCAAAUACAUCUGGUUUCCUCAACAACAACAAUACCAGGUUUAUGUUCAACUAGGGAAGUGCUUCAGGAGAACCAGCAUAACCUAACUGCUCCAGAGCAUCCCAGGGAUUUAAAAGCAUUAUUUCAGGGGCUACAUUGACCUCUGCUGGUUCCUGAUCCUGAGAAAAGCCCUGAGUGCAAUGUUCUCAGCUCCCUCACUCUGU